GUACUGAUGAAGAGUCGCAAACUAGAUUAACGAAACAGCUGUCCAGUAC
rnacentral:hammerhead_ribozyme from 1 species